rnacentral:piRNA from 1 species
UGCUGAAGAAGAGGGCUGUCCCUCACAGGC